rnacentral:rRNA from 1 species
UCAAAUCGGGUGAGACUACCCGCUGAACUUAAGCAUAUCAAUA